rnacentral:rRNA from 1 species
UACGGAGGGGGCUAGCGUUGUUCGGAAUUACUGGGCGUAAAGCGCACGUAGGCGGUUCUCCAAGUCCGUUGUGAAAGCCCCGGGCUCAACCUGGGAAUGGCAGUGGAAACUAGGGGACUGGAAUCUGGCAGAGGGGGGUGGAAUUCCGCGUGUAGCAGUGAAAUGCGUAGAGAUGCGGAGGAACACCGAUGGCGAAGGCAGCCCCCUGGGCUAACACUGACGCUCAGGCACGAAAGCGUGGGGAGCAAACAGG